GACGUAGGGUGCAAGCGUUGUCCGGAAUUAUUGGGCGUAAAGAGCUCGUAGGCGGUCUGUCACGUCGGAUGUGAAAAUCCAGGGCUUAACCCUGGACCUGCAUUCGAUACGGGCAGACUAGAGUUCGGUAGGGGAGACUGGAAUUCCUGGUGUAGCGGUGAAAUGCGCAGAUAUCAGGAGGAACACCGGUGGCGAAGGCGGGUCUCUGGGCCGAUACUGACGCUGAGGAGCGAAAGCGUGGGGAGCGAACAGG
rnacentral:rRNA from 1 species